CUGAUCGCCGGUGAAAUCACGC
rnacentral:siRNA from 1 species